UUCCGGUUGAUCCUGCCGGAGGUCACUGCUAUUGGGAUUCGGCUAAGCCAUGCAAGUGGAGGGCGCGGUCGAAAGAUCGUGGCCCCACACACUGCUCAGUAACACGUAGUCAACCUACCCUUGGGACGGGGACAACCUCGGGAAACUGAGGCUAAUCCCCGAUAGGUGAGGGACGCUGGAAUGCCUCCUCGCCCAAAGCUCCGGCGCCCAAGGAUGGGACUGCGGUCUAUCAGGCUGUUGGUGGUGUAACGGACCACCAAACCUACGAUGGGUACGGGCGAUGGGAGUCGGAGCCCGGAGAUGGGGACUGAGACAAGGCCCCAGGCCCUACGGGGCGCAGCAGGCGCGAAAACUCCGCAAUGCGCGCAAGCGUGACGGGGGAAUCCCAAGUGCCGUUGGUCUUAUGAUCGACGGUUUUUAGGAAGUCUAAGAAGCUUCCAGAAUAAGGGCUGGGCAAGACUGGUGCCAGCCGCCGCGGUAACACCAGCAGCCCAAGUGGUGACCACGAUUAUUGGGCCUAAAGCGCUCGUAGCCGGAUCAGCAAGUCCCUUGUGAAAUCGGGCCGCCUAACGGUUCGGCGUGCAAGGGAUACUGUUGGUCUUGAGGCCGGGAGAGGUCGGAGGUACUCCUGGGGUAGCGGUGAAAUGCUCUAAUCCUAGGGGGACCACCAGUGGCGAAGGCGUCCGACCAGAACGGACCUGACGGUGAGGGGCGAAGGCUAGGGGAGCGAACGGGAUUAGAUACCCCGGUAGUCCUAGCUGUAAAGCAUGCGGGCCAGGUGUCUAGCGCUCCUUGAGGGCGCUAGGUGCCGGAGGGAAGCCGUUAAGCCCGCCGCCUGGAAGUACGGCCGCAAGGCUGAAACUUAAAGAAAUUGGCGGGGGAGCACCACAAGAGGUGGGACCUGCGGUUCAAUUGGAUUCAACGCCGGA
rnacentral:rRNA from 1 species